rnacentral:rRNA from 1 species
UACGAAGGGGGCUAGCGUUGCUCGGAUUGACUGGGCGUAAAGGGCGCGUAGGCGGUUCGCACAGUCAGACGUGAAAUUCCUGGGCUCAACCUGGGGGCUGCGUUUGAUACGUGCGGACUUGAGUGCGGAAGAGGGUCGUGGAAUUCCCAGUGUAGAGGUGAAAUGCGUAGAUAUCAGGAGGAAUACCGGUGGCGAAAGCGACUCUCUGGACGGCAACUGACGCUGAGGCACGAAAGCGUGGGGAGCAAACAGG